GACGAACGCUGGCGGCGUGCCUAACACAUGCAAGUCGAACGGAAAGGCCCUGCUUUUGUGGGGUGCUCGAGUGGCGAACGGGUGAGUAACACGUGAGUAACCUGCCCCUGACUGUGGGAUAACUUCAGGAAACUGGGGCUAAUACCGGCUAGGAGCUCCUGCUGCAUGGUGGGGGUUGGUAAGAUUCGGCGGUUGGGGUUGGACUGGCGGCUCAUCGGCUUGUUGGUUGGGUAGUGGCUGACCAAGGCCUUGACGGGUAGCCGGGCUGAGAGGGGGACCGGCCCAGUUGGGCCUGGAAUACGGCCCGGCCCAGAAUGGGAGGGAAGGGUGGAGUAGGUAAUACUAUAGGCGGGGGGAUGGUGUAGCCACGCCGCGUGCGGGAUGUCGGGAAGCGGUUUGUGUUCCACUUUCGUCUUAGACGGGGCGAGAAUGACGGUAAUGGGUAAAGAAGCACCGGCUAACUACGUG
rnacentral:rRNA from 1 species